rfam:Ixodes scapularis strain Wikel colony gcontig_1108378314598, whole genome shotgun sequence.
UUCUGGAAGGAUUGACAGAUUCAGAGCUCUUUCGUAAUUCGGUGGAUGCUGGUGCAUGGCCGUUGUUAGUUGGUGGAGAGAUUGGUUUGGUUAAUUACGAAAAUGACAGCGUAUUAGAUAGUUGCGUGGUCUUCUGCACGACAAGCGGCUCCUAGCCGCACAAAACAGAGCAAUAACAGGUCUGUGAUGCCCUUA